UGAGUAACACGUAUCCAACCUGCCGUCUACUCUUGGCCAGCCUUCUGAAAGGAAGAUUAAUCCAGGAUGGCAUCAUGAGUUCACAUGUCCGCAUGAUUAAAGGUAUUUUCCGGUAGACGAUGGGGAUGCGUUCCAUUAGAUAGUAGGCGGGGUAACGGCCCACCUAGUCAACGAUGGAUAGGGGUUCUGAGAGGAAGGUCCCCCACAUUGGACUGAGACACGGCCAA
rnacentral:rRNA from 1 species